rnacentral:rRNA from 1 species
GGGUUGUGAGGUUAAGCGACUAAGCGUACACGGUGGAUGCCCUGGCAGUCAGAGGCGAUGAAGGACGUGCUAAUCUGCGAUAAGCGCCGGUAAGGUGAUAUGAACCGUUAUAACCGGCGAUUUCCGAAUGGGGAAACCCAGUGUGAUUCGUCACACUAUCAUUAACUGAAUCCAUAGGUUAAUGAGGCGAACCGGGGGAACUGAAACAUCUAAGUACCCCGAGGAAAAGAAAUCAACCGAGAUUCCCCCAGUAGCGGCGAGCGAACGGGGAGGAGCCCAGAGCCUGAAUCAGCAUGUGUGUUAGUGGAAGCGUCUGGAAAGGCGCGCGAUACAGGGUGACAGCCCCGUACACAAAAGCGCAUGUGCUGUGAGCUCGAUGAGUAGGGCGGGACACGUGGUAUCCUGUCUGAAUAUGGGGGGACCAUCCUCCAAGGCUAAAUACUCCUGACUGACCGAUAGUGAACCAGUACCGUGAGGGAAAGGCGAAAAGAACCCCGGCGAGGGGAGUGAAAAAGAACCUGAAACCGUGUACGUACAAGCAGUGGGAGCACCCUUUGGGGUGUGACUGCGUACCUUUUGUAUAAUGGGUCAGCGACUUAUAUUCUGUAGCAAGGUUAACCGUAUAGGGGAGCCGGAGGGAAACCGAGUCUUAAUUGGGCGUUAAGUUGCAGGGUAUAGACCCGAAACCCGGUGAUCUAGCCAUGGGCAGGUUGAAGGUUGGGUAACACUAACUGGAGGACCGAACCGACUAAUGUUGAAAAAUUAGCGGAUGACCUGUGGCUGGGGGUGAAAGGCCAAUCAAACCGGGAGAUAGCUGGUUCUCCCCGAAAGCUAUUUAGGUAGCGCCUCGUGAAUUCAUCUCCGGGGGUAGAGCACUGUUUCGGCUAGGGGGCCAUCCCGGCUUACCAACCCGAUGCAAACUGCGAAUACCGGAGAAUGUUAUCACGGGAGACACACGGCGGGUGCUAACGUCCGUCGUGAAGAGGGAAACAACCCAGACCGCCAGCUAAGGUCCCAAAGUCAUGGUUAAGUGGGAAACGAUGUGGGAAGGCCCAGACAGCCAGGAUGUUGGCUUAGAAGCAGCCAUCAUUUAAAGAAAGCGUAAUAGCUCACUGGUCGAGUCGGCCUGCGCGGAAGAUGUAACGGGGCUAAACCAUGCACCGAAGCUGCGGCAGCGAC